CGGUCCACCGCGUGGUGGUGGAAUGACCGAUGUGCCCUCGGUCCCCUUUUGGCCCAGUCUCCGCCGUAAGAACUCCAUGGUUUUGGCCUAGUCUCCGCUGUCUUCGUUGCCGUCGACGCACUUUCUCGGUGGAUUCGAUUUGAUGGCGGUAGGAAGACGUCUGACUUGCUGAUUUGAGUUAUUGAUUCGGGAGUUUGAUUCGGGGGUUUGAUUCGGGGGUUUUUGAUUAUCCGAUUUUGAUUUGGUGUUUUUUGAUUUCUCUGGUUUGUGGGUUGUGGAAGAAGAGGUUUGUGGGUUGUGGAAGAAGAAGAAGAAGA
rnacentral:lncRNA from 1 species